UACGUAGGGUGCAAGCGUUAAUCGGAAUUACUGGGCGUAAAGCGUGCGCAGGCGGUUUUGUAAGUCUGACGUGAAAUCCCCGGGCUCAACCUGGGAAUUGCGUUGGAGACUGCAAGGCUGGAGUCUGGCAGAGGGGGGUAGAAUUCCACGUGUAGCAGUGAAAUGCGUAGAGAUCGGGAGGAACAUCAGUGGCGAAGGCGGCCAUCUGGGACAACACUGACGCUGAAGCACGAAAGCGUGGGGAGCAAACAGG
rnacentral:rRNA from 1 species